AACAUUCACUAACAAAAGAACUAAACAGCGUUGUUGCCGAAAAAGAAAAAAACUUCAGCACAAAAAGGAUUUAAAAAGGAGGUUUGAAGAACUAACAUCAUCAGAGAAUAAAUCUGCUGCUGAUGAUGUUUAGGUGUAUUGGAUACUUUAAAAACUACAACAGGGCAGCUGAUAGCGAUGAAGAUUGAUGGCGGUAGUUCUUCUUGGGUGGGGAGCAAACCAUUGUGUUCCUCAGCAUUAGGUUCAGCUGAAGAGUUGCUUUCGUCUCUUUGUCACUCAUCGUACUCUAGGCCUAAACAGGUGAGCUGCUGAGCAUACACCGGGACAGGCUUCAGACACUAGUUCACUAGUACUAGUGGUGACACACAACAUUACAGGUUCACCGAUCCGUCCUGGCUCCAAGAUCUUCAUCCAACCCAAGCGGGGGCUAGACAUCCACUGAAGAAGUCCAGAAGAGGGUCCAAAGUCUUCCUCCUAUCCGGCAAGAAGAGGAC